UCAGCUGAACGUCUGUUUUCAUCUGUCAAGCCUUUUUUAUGAUGGGGACUAAAGAGUGUGAAGAAAGUUUCCGUUAUAUAUAUAUAUGAAAAAAGUAUGCGGGUUAAUUUCUACCCGUUCAAUCAUCUUGCCUAAAUUAAUGGAGUUUUCAAUUAUGACGAAUGAUCUUUUAUACAGACAUGAUGGAAAGACCGUUGAAUAUAUUCUUUCAGUAAGAUCCUAGAUCCUCCUAGAAUUACUUUUUAUAUGAGACCAAUAAUUUUGUGCAAGUACUUGAGAAGAAUCCUUGAUUGAAUAUUCUAUGAAUAGAACUAAAUUAUGUGAUAAGUUUCUCUGACAUGUCUGUUUUCCAUCAUUGAACUUAGAUUCCUCAAACUCUAUUAACUGAUGUCUUCAAUUUGCAACCUUUCUUUACAUUUGAAAACAGAAAUAUGAUUUGUAAGACUUAUCCAGUUACAGAUGAAUGAUUCAGGACUGCUUUCAGUACAUUUCAUUACAUAAUAUCAAAAUGGCAGUUAUUUAAAUGCAAAGUAGGUAACAGGUCUGUUCCCUGUUAUGCAUAAAAUGGCUUAUAGAAAAAUUGAAAUAGAACUUGGAUGUUGAUCAAAACUACAUGGUAAGUAUAUAAUUUCUUAUUAUCUUAUUUGGAAUGAUAGAUUCCUAACUGGAGCUGAACUGGAAUGUUUAAGUCAUUAAAUACCUUUCUUUUGAGUUUCAUGAUCAAUAUUUAAAACGUGAAAUAAAAUUCAUCAGAUAAACAAAAAUAUCCUUUUUCUCUUUUCAUAUUAUAUUUGACAUUGAUUAAUGUUAUUAUAUGUCAACUUUUGAUUAUUUUCUUUUAAUUGUUCAUCUGAGGUUUACAAGUGUUCAAUUUUGUGUCAGUUAAAAAUACCCACAAUUAUUUCAACUUUUAACAGGUCUUGUGCAACAAUUUAAAGGUAAGUGUUUUCCUUAAUAAAUGCUGUUAUUUUUAAUAUUUUUAAGCAAACCUACAUAGGGAACUUCAUAGUGUUUGUUACUCUGAAUUCAACUUCACGGUUAUGUGUUAAAUGAGCAGAGCUGCUCCCUCCCUUUCUUUGAAAAAAACUAGAGUAUAGAUUAAAUUUUAGCAUCUGGUUCAAACAUUUUUCAUUUGAUUAUGUUAGACUUGAUUUUGAAAAUCUUCACAAGGAGGAGCUUAAUGGUAAUGGAGUCAGUUCAUUAUCAUGUGACACAUUUUAAGUGCAGUAUGCCAAAUGCAAGUUAAGUACAGUAUCAUACAAUCCAUUCUGUGUUGUCAUGUCUUUUUUAUUAUGUUAGAGCCUACUGUAAAACUACAUAUAGUGAGAUGACUUACUGAAUUACUUCUUUGUCAUGUAGCUGUGGCAUGUGAAUUGACUUCAUUAUGAUAUUUCUGUUUUAUCAUUCAUAUCUAUUACAUUUUUUACAGAUUACAAAAUCAAAUAUGAAUGUUUGACACCAGUAUGCAUUAUAUGUAUGCGUGCUGUCAGUCUAUAUAUUAACCCUUUAAAGGCUGACAAAAUCUUAUGCAAUUCAUUCUCUAGUGCUAUCUAAUUCAACAUGAUAUUUCUUUUUACUGUUACAAUCGCACUUGUUCCCUAUUGUAAGACAUGAGCAUACUUUAGUCAAACCCCUAUUCAAGAUCGUUUUGUUGCAUUCCAAAAAAGUAGGCAUUGUUAUAUAACAACAAAUUACAAAGGAAGGUAUAUUGUAAAGUUUAUGAAAGGCAUAUAUAUGUGCCUUUUGAAGUUAAAGGAUUAAACUUAAAAGAAUUGCAAUUGGAAAUAAUAUUUCAAUGUUUUUUUUUGUGUUGUUUAAAUAAAUUUCAUGUGGUAUGUUGUCAUUUCUUGCACAAAUUUCAGCUACCAAGACAUUUAUCCAGUGUGAAAAGUGUAAGUACAGAUGAACACCAUCCAAAAUGAUGUAUAAUUUAGUAAAUGCGUAAAAUUGUGAAAAUGUUAAUUUUUUUAUCUUUCUGAUAACUAAUAGUUCAUUUCUUCUGUAAACAUUUGUAAAUGAGGUAUUAAAUAAAAGUUUCUUUCUUAAAAUA